CAAACUGUAUUCAAGUCUAAGCCAGAUCUUUGCGGUCUCCUCUUCUGAGACACACAUGAAUCCUGCCUUCAAUUAUCACCUCCAUGAGAACGCGACCUCCCACGUGAGCAAGGCUUCUUUUUUCUUGGCUGUUCUGAUGGUGAGGUCAUCCUGGCACUUGAGUUGUUGUGGAACUCCCAAACUGAAGCACUCCCUCCUAGGGCAGGGCAGAGGGGCACAAGAAGACUCAAGGAGCUAAGAAGGCGUUGUAAGGAGUCCUGGAAGAAAUACAGCAGCGUGUGCAGACCUCUUCUACACAUGAUUCUGUUUACUUUGGAUUUAUUCUCAAUGGUAGGACCAGUGGCUCCCAUGGAUUCUGCUUUCAGCUCUGUCAGGAAUCUCCUGGUGUUUUCUGCUGUGACAGUAUUAGUUUAUACCUCCUCCCACUUGUGUACCAGUGCAAGCUGUUAGGUUUUUCCUUCCUAGUUCUACAGCAGUCGACUGCACAGCUUCAUGCAUGUACAUAAGUCGCUGAGCAGUUCUGAGAUCAGUAAAAAGGCUGUUGCCCAGGAGAGCAGGCUUAGGUCCACGACGGAUCCAGGGUGAAGUCCUUGCUCUGCUUCUUGUAUGACCAAGGACAAGUUCUGGAGUGAUUUUCCUUAACCUUCCAUUUCCUCAUCUAUAAAUGUUUCCCCACAAAGCAGUUGAGUGGAUUAAAUAUGCCUCUGGUGCAUCGUCUAGCCUACAGUGUAGACUCAAAACGUUACCUGAUGUUACUGAUUCAACACCAUUAAAGAGUUUUUUAUAAAUACCCUUGACUGAGUUCCUACAGGAAUCAUCUCUAGAAAGAACAAGACGUCCUAGGGCCUCCGGAGUGCUGGAGACUCAAAGAUGUUGGAAAAAAAUGUCUGAAGCCCAAGCCUUGCAGUUUCCUAUGUAUCAUCAACUGUGUAAGGCAGAAUCACGGUCCUCCAAAGAUGUCAAUAUGAGAAACCCAAUCAUCUGCAGGCAUCAUCUCACCCAGAAAUAAAAACUUUGCCAACAGAGGCUUGAGGUAGAAGAAACCAUCAAGAUUCAUCAGUCUAAUGACACAGGUUUUUAAAAUAGAGAACGUUUCUGAGCAGCACAGAGCUAGAAGGGGGAUGGUGUGAGAAGCUUUACCAUCGCCAACACUGAAGAUGGAGGGAGGCACCCAUAAACCCAGGGUGUAAGAAACCUCAAGACAGGGAAAGACCUGGCAAUGGAUUCUCUUUCCCAAGAGCCUCCAGACGGGGAUAUAACCUUGACAUUACAUCUUGCCUGCUGCCUUCUAGCUUACAGAGCUUAAGAGGUAGAGAGGUGGCUUAGUGUGCCUUGAAUAAACUGAAAUAUGUGUGGUGGUCUGUGAUCACAGCAGGAAGAUUAAAAAGAAAAUUUAAAGUUGCAAUGCUUACCUGGUUUCAGAGUAUGGCAUCUGAGAUGUCGAAAUCUCAGGUAGACAUAUGUUCUUUCAAAUGAUCGUGGAAAUAGACACUUAGAUACAGA
rnacentral:lncRNA from 1 species